UCAGUCACCCCCCCCCAACCACAAACAAGAGCCAGAUGGCCACAAGGCCAUGUAAGCAGCUUGUCUUCCAAAAGCCACCUUGUGUCUGCAGGACGCGGAGCACCCGGCAGCCCGGGCUGGUCCUCCUCGCCGGCACUCCUCGGCUUUGCCUGAUGAACACCAACACGGUUUUAAGCUUCCAUCCAGCAUUUGCAGCUUACUCGUGAGAUGCCAAACUGAUGUUCACUGAUCAGGCUCAGAUUACCCAACAGAGAUGGGAGAUUGGUGCCGGCCCUGCACAGCAUGCCUCGAAGGAAGCCCUGUGGCGAGAGAUGAACCUAGCUCAACUUCCAUUCUGCUGCUGGCGCCUGCCCCGGUAACCCGCAUGUUACACGCAGAUUGGAGAUCACAAAUCAGAAGGGGACUCAAGGGCUGUUGGCAACAGGAUGGGACUGGGGACAGCCCAUGUGCCUGCCUCUGUCAUGAUAGGCACCCAGAAAUAUUUCCUGGAUGGCCAGUGACCAAGUGGGGGAUGUCAUCUCUUCACACGCUUCCAGCACACACGUGUGAUGAAGCAGGAUCCAGGCUGUGGCGAGGCACCAGGAUAGGACAAGCAAGGAGGCGGCUCCUCUCUGCCGGGAAUCUGGCCUGCGGGAGGAAAGCAGCCUGACAGUGCCCACUCUGGUGGCCACUGUGACAAGGGCUCUGCAGCCCGGAGGAACUCUGGGAGGUUUGAUGUGAAGAGGAGAGCCAGGGAUGACCCUUUGGUGAGGUCUGAGGGAUGAACUGGAAGACACCUAUGAUUUUAAAUGAAAAACUUGCCUGAGAGAAGACACAGAAAAAAAUACGAAGAGCUAGGUUCUGAUGAGGAAAUUACUUCUGUGGACCCAGCGCUUUUGACUUCAUCUUCCUUCUGUUCCUGAACUUGGGAACGUGGAGAACAAUGAGGAAAAAAGGGUGUCAAAGCACUCAGAAAAAUUAAGUGUCGAAUACGUGGAAAUAGUAAUAAAAAAACCACUUUUCAUGUUAUGUGACCAUUUGUCUUGAAGACUACAAACGUAGACUGGCACUACCAUACCUAACGCACGAUCUCAGCCGUUUAUUCUUCCCUGAGAAAACUGGGGCAAGAAGAGAAAGUAACAUUUAUUGAGAGCUUAUCUUGUGCCAGGCACUAUUAGGUGUUUUUAUAAAUGCUCAGGGAAGCCAUUCUUCAGGUAUGAAUCUUACCAAGAUGUAUAAAGUCUGCAGGGCACUAUGUUUGGGUAUUAGGACUUGGAUCUAUUUCAUGCACCUUUUUCUUUGCAUAUUUUGACUACAUUUAGGGAUCAAUAUGCAAUCCCUCCUGUGACUAAUUUAUUGCUUACAAGCUCACCUCAGUCCAAGAGUAAAUAAAAUGGUGGAUUAGUGAGGACUAGGUCAGCUUAUUGCAUAAUAUACAUUAAGGCUAAAUUUUAGUAUCUUUAUUAAUAUUUUACAGCAUUAACACUUUUCAAAGAGAAUAUCCCUAGAAGGGUAUGCUAAAGUUACAUUAUUACAAAGAGAUGAUCUGAAACUCUGAGAAAGUGAACAUUCUUAGUAAAAGGUCUGUUUUAACAGGUAAAGUAGAAAAGGCAAGUUUAGAUUUAUAAUUGCUCCCUUCUCUCGUUUCUUUUUACCACCAGGAUAAAGGAAAUGUCUAUAAUUCAAGGAUAGGGAGAGUGCCAGGUCACCAAAUGAUUAUAUCUAAUUCAUUUAAACCAAUCUGCCGGAAAUCUUGCUUAGGUUAAGAUCACAGGUGGCUUUUAAAACUAGCCAAACAAACAUCUUUGAAUCUAUCUUGAGUUCCUAUUUACUCAGCCUUGCUCAUUCAGUUGAAAAGACGUGAACAAGGAAAUCUUCUGUAAAUUACACACCUUACCCUUAAUGAAAUGGUUUCAUUCCAUCACUUGCUCAAUAGAUCAGAAAAAUUCCAGGAAACGUUUAACCUCCAAAACUUAUUCUAAAGCAUGAAUAGGCCAGACGCCGUGGCUCACGUCUGCAAUCCCAGCAGUUUGGGAGGUCGAGGCGGGCAGAUCACUUGAGGUCAGGAG
rnacentral:lncRNA from 1 species